rnacentral:rRNA from 1 species
UACGGAGGGGGCCAGCGUUGUUCGGAAUUACUGGGCGUAAAGGGCGCGUAGGCGGUCGAGUAAGUCAGACGUGAAAUCCCUUGGCUCAACCAAGGAACUGCGUCUGAAACUGGUCGGCUUGAGUCCGGGAGAGGGUAGUGGAAUUCCAGGUGUAGCGGUGAAAUGCGUAGAUAUCGGGAGGAACACCGGUGGCGAAGGCGGCUACCUGGACCGGUACUGACGCUGAGGCGCGAAAGCCUGGGGAGCAAAC